GAUGAAUCAUCUCUCUGAUCUAUAACCUCUUGACUCCUGCAGUCUGGAUCAUGGCAGAAAAUUAAGCAAAGAAACAGCAGAGGUGAAGAGUUUUACUGCGGUAACUGCCACUGGCUGACAGCGAGGACUAAGACAGUCUGAUCAAACUCAGACUCUGAGGUAUUCCAGAGAGAGGGAGCGCGCGGAGGGACUCUUUGAAAUCAGAGCUGGAUCUAUCUCUCUCAAGCAUAAUCACAUUGAUUAACUGCCUGGCUGAUGGGUAAAGAGUGGAGUGGAUCUGUGUCGAUGGAGAGAGAGAAAGCGAGAGGAUUGGCUUUAUUGAUUCAUCAGCAGUCACAUUUAGCAGUUCAGUAACCUGUUAAUUCACACCGUCUGCAACCA